rnacentral:rRNA from 1 species
ACCUGCAGAAGGAUCAUUAUAGAGUAAGCGGGCUCCGGCCCGGCGUCUCUCACCCUUUGUUUACCACACUUUGUUGCCUUGGCGCCUCGCGCGCCAGCGGACAGAAACCCUUGAAUCAUUGAUGUCUGAGUACUAUACAAUAGUUAAAACUUUCAACAACGGAUCUCUUGGUUCUGGCAUCGAUGAAGAACGCAGCGAAAUGCGAUAAGUAAUGUGAAUUGCAGAAUUCAGUGAAUCAUCGAAUCUUUGAACGCACAUUGCGCCCCCUGGCAUUCCGGGGGGCAUGCCUGUUCGAGCGUCAUUACAACCCUCAAGCUCUGCUUGGUGUUGGGCUCGCCCUGUAGGGCCUGCCUCAAAGUCAGUGGCGGCCACAGCCCGACCUUCAGCGCAGUAAUGCUCGCCGCUGCAAGGAGAGGCCUAGGCGCUAUACAACCCCCACUUUACAAGGUUGACCUCGGAUCAGGUAGGGAUACCCGCUGAACUUAAGCAUAUCAAUAAGCGGAGA